GUUAGCUCAGUUGGUCAGAGCACGGUGCUGAUAAUGCCAAAGUCACAGGUUUGAUAACCUGUUUUAACA